UUCCGGUUGAUCCUGCCGGAGGCCAUUGCUAUUGGAAUCCGAUUUAGCCAUGCUAGUCGCACGAGUUCAGACUCGUGGCGAAUAGCUCAGUAACACGUGGCCAAACUACCCUUCGGAGCUCCAUACCCUCGGGAAACUGAGGCUAAUAGAGCAUACCACAAUCCAGCUGGAAUGAGGAUUGUGCCAAACGCUCCGGCGCCGAAGGAUGUGGCUGCGGCCGAUUAGGUAGACGGUGGGGUAACGGCCCACCGUGCCAAUAAUCGGUACGGGUCAUGAGAGUGAGAACCCGGAGACGGAAUCUGAGACAAGAUUCCGGGCCCUACGGGGCGCAGCAGGCGCGAAACCUUUACACUGCACGCCAGUGCGAUAAGGGGAUUCCAAGUGCGUAGGCAUAGAGCCUACGCUUUUGUCCACCGUAGGGAGGUGGACGAAUAAGGGCUGGGCAAGACCGGUGCCAGCCGCCGCGGUAAUACCGGCAGCCCGAGUGAUGGCCGAUCUUAUUGGGCCUAAAGCGUCCGUAGCUGGCCGCACAAGUCCAUCGGAAAAUCCACCCGCUCAACGGGUGGGCGUCCGGUGGAAACUGUGUGGCUUGGGACCGGAAGGCGCGACGGGUACGUCCGGGGUAGGAGUGAAAUCCUGUAAUCCUGGACGGACCGCCGAUGGCGAAAGCACGUCGCGAAGACGGAUCCGACAGUGAGGGACGAAAGCUAGGGUCUCGAACCGGAUUAGAUACCCGGGUAGUCCUAGCCGUAAACAAUGCCUGUUAGGUGUGGCUCCCACUACGAGUGGGUGCUGUGCCGUAGGGAAGCCGCUAAACAGGCCGCCUGGGAAGUACGUCCGCAAGGAUGAAACUUAAAGGAAUUGGCGGGGGAGCAC
rnacentral:rRNA from 1 species